AAUUUAUUCAUUAAUUUAUAUGUAUACUCAAAAAUAUUUACUUGGUACUUCUUGUGUACCAGGUACUAGAGAUAUAAAGUUAAAAGUUGACCAGGAUGUGGUCCUGUCCCUUGACCAGCUCACUAUCCAUGCCCAACAGUAAAGGCAGAUACAAAAAACUUUAACUAGCAUAGAACGUAAGAGGUGCUUCGAUAGAGAAGUGUACAAAAGUGCCAUGGCAACAGGGAUUAGUAGGACAAUGACCUCUCUCCAGAGAGAUCAGUGAAAGCUCUACUGAGCAGGGAACAUUAGAGUGGGGUAUUGAAGGAUAAGUAGAAGCUUGCAAUAUACAGAAAUGGAAGAUUGGUGUGGGGAGUGGGUGGGACUUAGCUCGAUAGGAUUCAUAUAGGGCAGGCUCAGGCACUGGACUUUUAUUUAUUGACAUUGAGGACCUGUUGAAGGAAGGGUUUUAAAUGAGCUACUGAGAACACAGGGCUCCUUUUUAGCAUUGCUGUGCCCUGAACGGCCUUUCUCAUCUAGCAAUGGAUGGCAGGACAGUUGGUAAACCUGUGUCUCUGAAAAUGUGCGUGUCAAAAGCACUCUAUAUACCAUAAAAUGACUUCCAAAUUACCUACAAGGUACUUUGGAUUUUUUUUUUUUAAAUUUCUGGGGGAAUCUUUGAAAUUGCAGCAGUUUCAAAACACUUUCCUGCCCUUCGUCUCAGCAGCCUCCCUCCCUGCAAAACUGAUUGUGCCUUUCUUUUUAGGCUGUUCUGAGGGUUUAACGAGCUCGUGGCCAUGAUGUGCUGGGCACAAGGGACUGAAAGAGCUGGGAUUUCAAUGAGCCACCCUGCUGUGUCAGAGAUGGGAAACUGCCUUGAAGGAAACGAGAGCCUUGGACGAGAGUGCAAAGCUGUAAGCCGCAGAGUCAGGGUGUAACCCCAGCUGGCCUGGCCAUAGAACCCCUUUCUUACCAUGACACUGCGCUCCCUCCGACACAAACACCUAAGUACAGCUCAGCAUUCAUCACCUGCAGGGAGCAUCUUUAAGUUGGCCAGGAAACACUGAACAGUGGAGAGAAUAUGGGGACCGAGGCAGAUCUGAAGUUAAAUCCUGACUUCAUGCAUUUUGAGUAACUAGAUUUCUGGCAUGUCACUGAACUUUUCUGUGCCCGGAUUUCCCCGUUUCUAGUGAGGAUUUAGGACUUUCCUUGAGGUAUUAUUGUGAAAAUUAGAAACGAUAUACUCAGAGCACAUCGAAUAGGGCCUGGUUCACAGCAGCUGCGUGGUAAAUGAAGGCAAUUUAUAACAAUCAUAGUAGUUAUGAUUAUAAUGAGUUUCUUUUGAAAGUAGGGGGCUUUUGCUAACCUCAGACUUCAGAAUAUUAAGUAGGUAGAUAUUUAUGUAAUAAUGGUUGUCGGGAAGGAUGGUGAAACCCUUGGAAUUGGAACAUGGAAAACUCCAGCCAAUGCUCAGCGAGCCCAUGUGCUUGGCUUUACGCUCUGUGCAAAGCAUAGAAGGGCAGGAGGUGGUGGUGGUUCCUCCCUGUAUGAGCUGCAACCGCCUUUUUAAGGCCCUCUGCACCCUCCCUUGCGCCCCACACCUGAGCAAUGCUACAGAGAAAUAAGAGAAAGUGCCCUGUGAGCACUAGAGCGAGGUCCUAACUCUGGCUAAAAGCCUGAGAAGACUUCAGGAGAAGGUGGCCUUAGCCAGACCCUGCAGGACAGGAAGGUCCAGGACAUGCCUGGGAGCAGGAAGCAGUUGGUGGCCGCAGAUGAGGGCGGGGCAGCAGGCAGGAGCACUUUGCAUCUUGGCUCAGGAUCAAAUUGGCUCUGAGGGAUGAGGGAGGCGAGUGGCCCGGAAGAGUUCUGGAAGGUAACAGAGGGAGAAGAAAGAGCUGUGAGGAGGCGGCAUGGCUGUGAGCCCUGGGACUGGCUGUGGUUCUGAGAUGAGUGGUGAGGACACCAGCAUGGAGCCAGCUCAGGGGCUUUCGGGAUAAACACAACAGAGGUGCUUUGCUCAGGCCGGCAGAACCUGCCCCUGCUGCAUCCAGGGAACACUAACCGCUUUAGCCCAUUCUCUGACGCAUCAUUUCUCCAACUCUAACCACAUUAGGGCCGCACGGGGCCGCGGCUCGGUGCUCUGUCUGUCAGAUAUCGUUGCCAUUUAAGUGACUGAUGCCCGGUGGGCCGGCCACAGCGCCCGGCUCUGUGCACGAGGCAGGCAGCCAGAGAGCUGGCCCCAGAGGUUUUAUUUCUUUGGCUGCGUAAUCAGAUUGGAGGCAGAAUGUUUUUCUGUGUCUCCUCCAUGUAAUCUCUCUGUUUCCGUAUGGUUUCCCCUUCUUCGCAAUUCUGCUCCCUGUCGUUGCUGUGUUUGACGCUGUAAACUGCUCUGCCUCUCACCCUUCCGGGGCCUCUGCCCAUGCAGGACUGAGACAGGGGAGGCGCCCGCUGGGCCACCAAUUCUGCACCCACAGCGGGUGGAGGAAGGAAGAGAAGGUUUUGUUUUUACAUUUAAAUCCUCAUAGUUCAAUGACAAUGUGGUUUAAACUAACAUACAAAUCAAAGGAGAUAAGUUAUGGGGAGAAAGAUUUUGGUUCAACAUGCGAAUGAAAUUUGUAACAAUUGAGAACUGCAUAGAAAGAGAACUGCUUGACCAGUGAGGAAGCCAGCCAGCCUCAUCCCUUGACCUUCCACCGGAGUUUAAGAAUUGCUUGGCAUUCUGUAAGUGCUCAGUUAACAUUUGCUGAAUGAAUGAUGAAACAAGAGACAUCCAUGGUGUCUUUCAACACCGAUUCCUUGAUCUUGGUUCAGUUUUCAGCUCACUCUAUCUCUGCAGAUCAUUCUGGAAUUGGAUACGGUGGCUCCCAUGGGAGAAACAGGCAGGGGCAUGGGAGGCGACCUGGACAGAUUUAUCUUUCCAUUUCCCAACUUCCAAAUGUGCAAGGGAGGAUUGCUGGGUUCAUUGCUAUUUGCUGGGCUCUGGGAUGGGAAGGAAAUAGGUAGGCGAUUGGGCCCCCAGCCAAAGGGGUUUACAAAUGGGUUGGGGUGGUGAAUCGGCCACUCCUGCGAACUCAAGGAACAGCAUGGAGGCAGAAGGCUGUAGGAAUGGGGGGUCGCUGCUGCUGGGAGCUCAUGAAAACAGGCACUAUGCAUUAUAUGAGUCCCAGAGGUUUGCUCCAAGUGCUUCUCUCCUGAAGGACUCUUCUAAGAAGUUCUCCCUUCAGGUAAACUGAAGAAAUCACUACAAGGGUUAAGAGUCUCUUUUCUACUUUUUCAAAUGACUUAGUGACUCAGCAGAGAAGAAAAUGUACACACUUGAAUUCACAAACAAUGGAGAUAGGUCACUGUACUUCCCAGAUGACACAAGCCUGGGUCUUGGUGAUAGUGGAAAAAUAAGAAUUUCUCUGGCUCAUACUCAUGCGUUCUAUGGCAAUGCCAGCCCUGCUCCAAAGACUGGUGAACGUGUCUGCUUUCCUCUGGGUCACCCAAGCCAUCUGCUGUCUCUGCCGCUCCAGCCCUGGCAUUCCCGACAGUGGCAGCUCUGCCUCCAGUUCUGCGGCUGCUCCUGUCAUCUGCCGUCUGUGCCCGGUUGGCCAACACCCAUGAGGCAGAGGAUGAUGUCUGCAUCGGGGGCUGCCUCCUGGAGCACACUCUCAUUUCUUCGGACAAAGCCCUUUCCUCCAGACGUGGCUGAAGUCUAGGAUAAGCAUUGUUUAUGGGACCGCUUAGCUCCUGUGGGCUCACGUGGGGGACUCGAGCAUGGGCUCCAGAGCCAGCUGCUUUGUUUGUGCCAUGUACCAGCUGCCUGAUCCUGGCCACUCGACUCCAGCUCUCUGAGUCGUGGUGCUCACAUGCGAAGUGGAGAUGGAGUUGUCUGCAGCAGGUACACGUGAAGUGAGCCAAUGGCAGCUGGAUCCAAAGAUGGCAGCGUGAUCACUUGCUGACUGACUUCUGCUUCUGACUGCCAGUGUUGCAAAAUGAUGGGAGCGAUUGACGCAUUUUGUCACUUUCCAUCUGUUCCCUCCCCCCUCCUCUCCCCAGCCCCACAUUGGUAUUUUUGGAAAAAUGGCUAAGUACAUCAACCUUUUUAAAAAAGUAAUUAUUAAAUAUUUCUUGUCACCAAGAUGUAGUGGGGUUGUGUGUCAUGCAGAACUCUUAGCUGCAUCUAAAUCUGGAUUUUUAGAAAAAAUGAUGAAUUUCUUUCCCUUGACCUUUUAAUUUUAUUUUUUUUUCCUUCUGAAAAGAUUCAGCUUCUGCAGCAACCUAAUGGUUUACUUUUCAGAGCUUGCCCUGACUUAACUAGUAACAAAAUGAUUUUCCCUCAUUUUCCCACUUGAAUAGCUCUGCUGAGGCCCACCAAACCACACAGAGCUGAGUGGCUCCCACGAUGAGCUUUGCCACUUAUGAUGCAUAGAUGUGGGGUUUAUUCACUUCUCUUCUCUGGAGCCUAAAAUGUGAGGCUUUAGCAAUAUGCUCAUUUGAGCCUGCAGGCUGGUCGGGCUGCGGGAUGAAUGAAUCGGUACUCUAGGUGGCUACCGCUGAGAAGUAACAACCGUCGUGUAUUGCCUACCCACUCGCCCUGUGUGAGCCACUGGAAAAGUACUUUUCAUACAUUAUUUCAUUUAAUCCCCUCAAGAAACAGCUACUAUUUGUCGAGGGCUUCCUGUGGCCCGGGUCUGAGGUGCGGUUACUUGUUUAAGAUGCAAAUGAUGGUAACUAGUUUUGCUGGAUGAUGCAACAGAAAAAAAGUCCUUGGGUUAGAUCUUGAUGACUUCAGGCCUGGCUGGAUCCAGGUGCUCAAAUGAUACGAUUGACUUGCUCUCAUGGGUGCUGUCUUGCCUUCCUUUGUAUUGACUUUGUGCUCAGCAGAAACCCCCUAAGAGGUGGCAAAGACGGCCACGUGUAGCUCUGGCUUACACUCUGUGAGCCUAGAAACCCAGGAAGGAAGCAAAUGCUCUUGCCUGUAGGCUCCAGCAUCCACUCUCGGUGGAUGUGAUCAGCCACACACACUCAUACCUGGACCAGGGGAGGGUGGGCUAGGUUGCUGUCCAGAGCAAGGUCAUGUGUGUAUCCCAGGUAUUUGGGGGAAGGAGCAAGGUGUACCCCAUGGACUGAGAGUGGGAGGAGACCUGCUUCCAAAGAAAAUUGAGGCCAUUUAAUCCAAAGAAGAUAAAAUAUCAGUCAUCUACCAUUGUUCCAUUUACUUGGUCCAUUUCAUAGAUGCAAAGUCUAAGGGUCAGAGGGUUUAUGUGAUUUGCUCCAAGCUCUCACCAUUGGGAAAUGCCAGAAUGUGGAUUUGAACCCCAUUUACUGUAUCCUAAAGCCCAUCUUCCUUAUGUAAUUUGGCCUCUUUUUGUACUGUCCAGAUAUAUCACAGUCUUUGCUUCUCGAGCACCUGGAGCCUGUUAUCAAACAAAAACUAGCCCAGUAACCCAGCUGGGGGACGGGAAAAGAGCUCCAAAGGAUGUAUUGUGAAUCCAGCCACUACAUAUGGAGUGGGGGUCCAAGAACAGUGGUACAGCAGAGAGCCUCACAGCCAGGGUUCCUUAGGAAGCAGGGGAGUCACCAAGGCCUCUUCCUCCUGAACACCACUUCCUGGGGCCUGGGACCUUUCUCUUUGGUACAGGGAGCUCCAGAAGCCACAACCUGAGGGUUUUGAGCUGCUGGGGAAGGGAUGUGAUGACUGUGGCUUCUGCUCUUUCCAUUACUGAGGGAGGGACAUGAACCUGCCACCCUGAUAUGCCGGCAGGAGCCUUCUGCUGGGCUAUGUUCUCGGGGUGCCUAGUAACCAAGGGGCAGGUGGGUUUAUUCUGCUCUGGAACUAGCAGCUCUUUGCAGUUACGUCAAGACAAUUGCUCCAGACACUGAGCGAUCACUGGGAAGGAAGCCCUUCCGUGAGCUCCCCGGCUACUUGCUCACAUCCCUGGCGUCUUGUGUCUGCCAGCGCCAGAUGGAAACCUCUGGCUGCACAUGGGAGGAUUCCUGACGGAGCACACGGGCAUAGCAUUAAAUAACAGGGAGCACAUGGUGAGAAACAUAUUCCCCUCUCAUUUCUCAAUCACUCCUUCUGCUCAGCAUCUCCCGGAGACUUUGUCCUUGGUGUGCACACCUCCCAGCAUCAAACCAACUGUCUCAUUUUCUUUCUAACACUAGCAAGACGGGCCUCGUGCUUGGGGCCUUUGGCUGGCAAUAGCACGCACUGGAAUUCCGUGGCAUUGCGUUUGCCUUUAGUGCAUUUCUCUUUGUAGUUUCCUUCCAUUCUGGUUUUCUACUUAUGGUAGGGAUGUAAAUUUUGUCUGUAAAUUAUAUUUAUUUUAGUAAAAGAAGGUGAAGGGAUUGAAAGAAAACAUUUGAAUGAUAUGCAUCUGUCUGAGUUCAACCAGAUAAAAAACAGGCAGUAGGGGACAUAUAGGAAGAGAAUUAUUACAAGGAAUUGGUUCAUGUGGCUGUGGGGUCUGGCUAAGCAAGUCCCAAA